rnacentral:rRNA from 1 species
AUUGAACGCUGGCGGCAUGCCUUACACAUGCAAGUCGAACGGUAACAGGUCUUCGGAUGCUGACGAGUGGCGAACGGGAGAGUAAUACAUCGGAACGUGCCUAGUAGUGGGGGAUAACUACUCGAAAGAGUGGCUAAUACCGCAUGAGAUCUACGGAUGAAAGCAGGGGAUCGCAAGACCUUGUGCUACUAGAGCGGCCGAUGGCAGAUUAGGUAGUUGGUGGGAUAAAAGCUUACCAAGCCGGCGAUCUGUAGCUGGUCUGAGAGGACGAUCAGCCACACUGGGACUGAGACACGGCCCAGACUCCUACGGGAGGCAGCAGUGGGGAAUUUGGGACAAUGGGCGCAAGCCUGAUCCAGCAAUGCCGCGUGCAGGAUGAAGGCCUUCGGGUUGUAAACUGCUUUUGUACGGAACGAAAAGCCCCGGGUUAAUACCCUGGGGUCAUGACGGUACCGUAAGAAUAAGCACCGGCUAACUACGUGCCAGCAGCCGCCGUAA